CGUCAGUCUAACGUCACUCGGUGUCGGUAAACUCACCUGUUAAAGUCUCCUCAUGACAGAUUUAUGAAAUAAACCAGUUCAGUCGAUCUUCUGCCGCGGUGACGUCAUCGGGGCUCGAUCUCGACAGCAAAAGUUGACGAAUGAAUUCGUCCUUCUAUAGAGACGUGAAGUUCGUCCGGUGAGCAUAAUUGAUUUACUGGCAGACAGACACUGAGAUUCUGGUCAUUCGAUCCAAGCACCAUGAUGACAGCGUUUACAUCGAGUCUGCCACAGAGAGCAAGGAAAAGUGAAUUCAUGACAUAACAGAUGGAUGUGGAUGAGAGGGAGGCAGAAGAGGCCAGUGUCUCCUCCUCUUGAUCUGUCCGUUUAAUGAGACUCGACUGCAGGAGGCCGAGCCGUGACACGCCGGACCUGCACUCAUAUGAAUGAUAAAGCCGAGUUGAUGCCCGCAUGGCUGUUUGUCUCUGAAUUACUGAUGGAUUUCUCAGAACGGAUCUUCGUCUCCGUGCCGUGCCGUGGUUGGAGUGCUUUAUUAGUGUGACUGUGACCUUUCUGCUCGGAUCGGACUGCUGGGAUUCAGGCUGCGGCUGUGAAUUUGCUCUGUUUUAUCGGCUGCUGCAGAGCGGCAGGAAGCGUUCCUUUGUCCCGCCAAAACCGAUUAAUGAGUCCCGGCGCUUUACAGAAACACACAGAGAAAAUAUGCAUGGAAAUCAUGGUUAAUAAUGGAGAAAUAAUUAGCUGCCAUUGAGUGUCGCCACAUGAGGCAGCAGAGAGUUAAAAAUGCUUUUGUUAGUUAAAAGAAUAAUGUGUUUAAUGUGAAUUCUUGCGUAAAAUUUGAUUGAAUAAUGAGAAUAAUGAACUUUAGUCUGUUCCUAGACAUAGACAAGUCAUAUAGACUCUUUUAAUAGUCCUUUUUGGAGCUUGACUUAAACCAACAAAAGAUUGUGAUUAGUACACUGUAAAAAAUUAUUUUCAUGAUUUGCUAUCACAACAUUUUAUCUUUUGUCAAAUAAACUUCAAUAAUUCAUAUAAUUAAUUCAGAUAACACAAUAUUCUGAGUUUCUGUUUAUUAAACCAGUCGCCUUCAUUGUAUUAACUCAAAUUUUUAAUUUCAAAAUUUUAACUUACUUUAAGUUAAACCAACAAUUGUACCAACAAACAGUGUAUGAUUUUUUUCUUCUUCUUUUUUUAAAGAAAUUAUUACUUUUAUUGAUUGAGGACGCAUUAAAUUGAUCAAAAGUGACACCAAAGUAAUUUAUAAUGUUACAAAAGAUUCUAUUUCAAAUAAAUGCUGUUCUUUUGAACUUUCUAUUCAUCAAAGAAUCCUGAAAAAUAAAAAGAACUCUUUUGAUGCUGAAAAUUCAGCUUUGAUCACAGAAAUAAAUUACAUCUUACUAUAUAUUCACAUAGAAAACAGCUAUUUUAAAUUGUAAUAAUAUUUCACUAUUUUUACUGUAUUUUUGAUCAAAUAAAAGCUGCCUUGGUGAGCAGAAGAGACUUUUGAAUGGUAAUGCACUUUAAUAUUUUCUGCUUUUGUGUUUCACAGAAAAAAUACCAGCGUGCCGGUUUGUGCCGAUGUGACGGACUUCGCAGCUGUUUUUAAUUGAAACUCUAAAGCGGCCCCCUGGAAGAGAACAGAACUGGCCAUGAUGAAAAGAGCGCGUUACGGCCGUGUUCAAUCACGCAGCGCCGGAAAAGCCUGCUGGGACCCGAGUCAUACAGACCAGAAUAUCACAAAGACCACCUAGAAACCACCUAGCAACCACCACAAAUACCCAACUGCAUAGCAACGCCCUGGCAACCACCCACAAAACUCUAACAUCAUGAUGGUUUCAGAACAAAAAGAAAAUCUAAGCAGAUGCAUAAUAGAGGAGUUUGUUGAUGCUGAGGAGAGUCAGACAUGCCUGGGUUCACUCAAGAAAGCGAGACGCCCGAGUCUGAACCGGCUCGAGACCCGGCGGAUUUACAUUCAGCACGUAAUUGACUCGAGGAGUCUGUUUGAGGGCCGAUCCAGCAGAGUCACGCUCCGGCCACGGCUGCAGAAACAGCUCAGCGAGAUAAGAUGCUGCACUGCAAAACGCUAACGUCACGUCGAUUCCCCUUUGAUUAUCUGUUCAGUCUGGGGUAAAAGGGUCGCUGUUGGUACUAAAGAAACCCCCGCGAGCGCUGCCGUCACCCCGGGCAGAAACAGCGCAGGGGUCCGUGGUAUCUGGAUCUGAGGAGCGCGUUCGAACCCCCGUCCGGGCGUCUCCAUCCGCUCCCAGCAGGAGGUCUCGUGCGCUGUCUGCUCCUUGGGCAAUCAGUCAGGCAUUGAUUCCCGGUGUUUUUGUUUCAGUAAUCUACAUUAGCAGCUCUCUGGAUCUCUCGAUGACAGAGCGAUGGCGUUCUACAGAAAUCUCCAUAAAUCAUCAUUAGGAGAACGUCGUGACAUCCGGCUCAUUAAUCAUAAGAGACAUGCUCCUCCCACAGGUGUCCGGGGCUCUACAGGUGACCUGGAAACGGCAGACGGGACCAAGAUGAUUGAUGACAUCAUUUAAAGGGCGGGGGCGCUGCUCCAGUUUUCUGAAUGUUGGCUGCGCUGAGGAGUCGAUUUUAAUAAUCAUAAAAUUCCAGGCAUGAUGAUUUGCAGCAGCAGAGGAGCGAAAGUGAGUAUUGAUUAUAUCCCAAAAAGUGUGAUGGGAGUAUUGGAUUUCAUUAUGCAAUAUUGAAAAAAUGAAAUAAAAGUAUUCAGAGGUUGGAGUGAAAAUGAAGCCUUUUCCAAACAAUUCAGCAGAAGAUCCCAUAUGGCACUGAAUCAUUUUUGUGAGCUUGACUCAUUAAAAUGCAGUUGCUAAACACAACAUUUAAAAAACAAAAUAAAAUGCUGUUUGCAACCUGUUUUGCUUCCGUAAUGUGAUGUUUUUUUAGAGUAUUCAACAGCAGGACUUGAUUUCACUCAUCAAGAAUUGAUUGGUGUCUAAAUGAAGAUGUUUAAUAAGUAGACAAAACUCUUGAUGUUUUUAAUUGUAAUAAUGUGCAGUGAUGAAUUGUCCACAAUACACUGCAAAAAAAAAAAGUUCUUCCUCAGUAUUUUUUUCGUUUUCCAGUACAAAUAUCUAAACACUCUUAAAUCAAUACAUGUUCAUUUCAUAAAAUGAAUGAAGAUAUUAAGUCUUAUUUUCUGCAUCAAUGCCUCAAAAUGAAGUGAGUUUGAGCUUAAAACAAGAACAAAUAUCUGCCAAUGGGGUCAGAAAAACAAUCUUGUUUUCCCUUUUUUUUUGCAUGUGUUAUUACAGUAUAUAGGGUAAAUUUUGAUUUCAUGAUGACUUUAAGUGUAUUAUCAUAUAUAAUGGUUGCAAUAGCACUAAUAUGCCAAAUCAGUUCAGUGAAGUUUUUAUGUUAUUCUUUAUAAAUCAGUUAUGAUUUCCACUGAGAUGUGUUUGGUUUGUAUUUGGGUGUUUGUCCUGUCCAACUAACCAAUUAACCAACCAACUAACCAACUAACCAACCAACCAACCAACCAACCAACCAAACAAACAAACAAACAAACAACUAACUAACCAAUUAACUAACCAACCAACCAACUAACCAACCAACCAACCAACCAAAAAACUAACCAACCAACCAACCAACCAACCAACCAACCAACCAACCAACUAACCAACCAACUAACCAAACAACCAACCAACCAACCAACCAACCAACCAACCAGCCAACCAACCAACCAACCAACCAACUAACCAACUAACCAAUUAACCAACUAACCAACCAACCAACUAACUAACUAACCAACUAACCGACCAACUAACCAACCAACCAACCAACUAACCAACCAACUAACCAACCAAAAAACUAACCAACCAACCAACCAAACAACCAACCAACCAACCAACCAACCAACCAACCAACCAACUAACUAACUAACCAACUAACCAACCAACCAACUAACCAACCAACCAACCAACUAACCAAAAAACUAACCAACCAACCAAACAACUAACCAACCAACUAACUAACCAACUAACCAACCAACCAACUAACCAACCAACCAACUAACCAAAAAACUAACCAACCAACCAACCAACCAACCAACCGUAUGUGGAGGUGCGUUGGGUCAUGACAUGUUUUCAACUCCCAUCAGUGUUUCUGCAUGAAAAUAAUCCUAAGUGAAAACAUUCCUGCGCUGUAGUGUGUGAUCUCCGGCGCUGCUCUCCGUCAGGACUGACCUUUUUACUAGUGUUUUUACAGUGUGCUUCAGCUUUGAUCACUCGGCGACUGGGUAUGAGUUUGGUUUGUAUUUGGGUGUUUGUCCUGUCCAACUAACCAAUUAACCAACCAACCAACCAACCAACCAGCCAACUAACCAACCAACCAACCAAAAAACUAACCAACUAACCAACCAACCAACUAACCAACCAACCAACCAACCAACCAACUAACCAACUAACCAACCAACUAACCAAAAAACUAACCAACCAACCAAACAACUAACCAACCAACCAACCAACCAACCGUAUGUGGAGGUGCGUUGGGUCAUGACAUGCUUUCAACUCCCAUCAGUGUUUCUGCAUGAAAAUAAUCCCAAGUGAAAACAUUCCUGCGCUGUAGUGUGUGAUCUCCGGCGCUGCUCUCCGUCAGGACUGACCUUUUUACUAGUGUUUUUACAGUGUGCUUCAGCUUUGAUCACUCGACGACUGGGUAUGUGGCAUUUUACAGGAUACACACAUGAGCACACACACACACACAUUUACUGUUGUUCUGCUACAUUUAUUUUGAAUAAGUAAAUCCUCUAAAAAGUAUGUUCUAUUGUAGUAUGAGUGUGUGUAGUAUGAAUGAAAUUCAUAUAUUCGCCAGGUUGUCACUAUCAUGUGACCUACCAGUGUCAGUUGCGUCGCUUCACUGCCAUUCACAAAGCCUCAUGGGAUAGUAAAGUGUCCUUCAUAAGCACACUUCAGAAUCUCGCCAGAAAUAGUUCAUCCACGGACUCUUUUAUACUGUGAAUUCAGACAUACUUCUCUUGUCACAUACUGUUUUUCACCUACUAUAUAGUAGGGAAGUAUGUGAUUUCAAAUGUCUGAAAUCUUAAAAUCCUGAAAUCUCAAAAACUGCACAGUUAAAUGUUUUUACCCACGAAAUUUUGCAGAAAUAUUGCUAAUGUGAUGCACUUUAAGAAAACUCAUAAAGAUAGAGCAUAGUGUACCAUGGUAAUAUGAAAAAAUGUUCCAUGUUGUUUUUCAUUGGUGUUUCACAUUUUGAAUUACUCAAGAGUUUUAGGAUUAAAGGAAAUGUUUGUAAACUUAAUGGAUAAUGUCCUGGCAGGAAAUUACCAGCACCUUUUCCGUUUUUCUACGGAUUUGUUUCUUACAGUGUACAUUCAGAUUCCACACACAGCCUUUAAGUGGAUUCUUGUAUGUCAUGUAGUGUUAGAUAAAUUAUUCAGCUAUCAUGUCUGAAUCAGAAAUGAGAGUGUGUCUUAGAUACAAACCCUACAGGACGACUGAUUCUGUACACACACACAUAAAUUAUAUAUAUAUAUAUAUAUAUAUAUAUACAUAUAUAUACACACACAUAUUACAUAAACUGUGCGUACAGUCAAGAUUAUCUGAAAUUUUCAUUUGUUCCAUUGGCAUUUUUUUUUCAGCCUAAAGGUCCAUUUACACAAAAGAUUAUAACUAUAAUGAUAACUAUAAAGUUUUAAUAAUUCUAUAUAAUUCUAUGAGAAUAUUGAGUCGCACCACAAAUAUAACGAUAACAACAGACAAAAUAUAUAGUUGGAAUCACUUUCAGAACAACUUUUUCCAGCUCAUGAACGAUAAAAACAUUUACAGCCAAUCAGAAUCGAGAAUCCAUCCUGCUUUAGCGAGCUUGAAAAUUUAAAGCGACAGGAAACAAAACUGCAGCGAGAUUAUAAUAAAAAGAAUAUUGUGCAUUGACUGUUCUUGGGGUGAAUGAGCCUUAAAACAUAAAAUUAGUGUAAAACAAGUGAAAAAAGUUGAAUAAAACAUAAUGAAGGAAUAUGUCAGAAUGUUUUAUAUAGGAGAUUCUUCCUUUUGGAUGCAGUUAAUUUUGCUCUGCGGUGUUAUUUAGCAACUUUUAAAUGCCCCAAUUAUGUAAAUUACCCAGAGAUUACUUAUCAUGAUUACAGUAAUGGCGAGGUGAGACGGCUCGCAUAUUUUGUGUGUUAAUGGUCUCUGUCCAUGUCUUGUGUGGUGAAUCACUGAGCAGGUAAAUCGAUAUUUUGACUUUCUCCGGUGGAUUUUUUUCUUCUGUCUUACAGGAGAAAUGCCGUAAUGGAGCUGGACUGUAAAUAAGCGGAAGGCCUUCUUGACAAAUGAAUCCAUUAACAUUUCCCUGUGUCGCCUGGCAAGGAGACUUGCCGUUUAUGGGGCAGAAAAAACAGGCCUGUAAAUCUGACCGCCUGCCCGUGAAGAUCCACGCGGAGGCCCGAAACCGUCCCGCCCAUGAUGCAGCACUUUAUCUGCCUCUGAAAUGGCAUCUUUAUCUGCCUAAAUUAAGUUUUGAUUCCUUGCCACAUACGGUGCCGCAAAUCACUUUUAACGCUGAUAUCAAGAGCGGCACUAAAGUCAGCCUGUGGCCAUGAAAAACGGCUUUUUAUUUUGUAGCAUCCUCUGUUGUUCCCGGCCCGGAUUUAACCCCUGCUGCUCUGCAUAUUCCUUGGGCAUAAUCUAUCACUGAAAGGGCGGUGGUCGCUCUAAAAAAGGAUUGAGACAAGCUUUAUGGGCAGAAUAAAUUUCCAAUUUAAAUGUGAUUUUAGCACCGUGUGUCAGAGAAGAAUUCCCUGACUUCUGUUUCACUUCAUAACACCAGCCUGAACUCAGCGCUUUAGAGAUUGAUGGAGUUUUUUUUCAAGGACGCCCAUCAUUCACUCAGACGGUUAAUGUCUUUGUUAACGGAGGAGAAGAGCUGUCGCACCAAUGACUGACAGGCCUUUCAUCAUUAGCAAACGCUGAGUGACAGUUUUGGGGGAAAAGCAUCAUUGAGUUCUGAGAGGUCUGCGGGCAGCCAUUCGUUACUGAAGAACUGGACGAGCUCAUGUGACAUUACAAUGUGCUUUCGGUACAGAAUUUGUUAAAGGGCCAUUCGCUUGAAAUAUCUGCACUGACAGUAAAAUACCAACCAGAGCCAUUAGGUUUUAAGCCAAAUCAAUCUCCUCAUACUUUAUAAAAAAGUACAUUACAUUUAUAGAACAGAUCGAGAGCAUCAAUUGUGGAAAAACUUACGCCCGCCUUCAGAAUAAAAUACAUCUUUAAUUUAAGAGUAAAGGUCUUAAUUCUGCCCUCUAGAGGCUCAGUUUCCUUCACUUCUGUUUCUACAUCUCAACAAACUUGUAGUUUGCAUUUAAUAACAGGAGUCAAUCAAACCAUUUUACAUGAUUACCUGUAGGAUAAUCAGCGUGCUUCGUUAAAAUAAACCCACAGUAUUUAGUGGAUGCAAAUAUAUAUAUAUAUAUAUAUUCUCACAUACGUGCAUUUACCAAACACUGUGAAUUAGCAUAAUAAUACAGGGAAAGAAAGACUAUAAUCAUAGUUUGGUCAAGUUUGAAUCUGUUUCCACGAGUAAUAGAUAAUGUUCUCUCAGGCCCAUCAGCAAAAAAGCAAUUUCCCUCCCGCUGGUAAUUCAAAGUGAAAUGCCAUAAGAUGUCAGAUUCUCACCGACAUCAUUGUUCAACCCACAAAAAACAAGAUGAGCAAAUCUCACUAUUACUGCAGUUCAUUUUGAGCACUUGAUUUAGUUUCCCAUGAGGCUCAUUUCCUCCUGUUCUCAAUUUGAUUGACUGAAAAUAAAAAUAAAAGAUAAACAUCUAUCUGUCUGAAUGAAUGUGAUUGUCCAAUCUUUGUAGUUUAUAAAUACACUACUGUUCAAAAGUUUGGGGUUGGUUUAAUUUUUUUAAAUGUUUUUUUAAUGUUUUUGAGUGUUUAUGCUCACCAAAGCUACUUUUAUUUGAUCAAAAAAUACAUUAAAAAUAGUGAAAUAUUAUUACAAUUUAAAAUAUCUGUUUUCUAUGUGAAUAUAUAGUAAAGUGUAAUUUAUUCCUGUGAUCAAAGCUGAAUUUUCAGCAUCAUUACUCCAGUCUUCAGUGUCACAUGAUCCUUCAGAAAUCAUUCUAAUAUGAUGAUUUGCUGCUUAAGAAACAUUUAUGAUUAUUAUCAGUGUUGAAAACAGUUCAUAUUUUUAUGGAAACUGUGAUACAUUUUAUUUUUCAGGAUUCUUUGAUGAAUAGAAAGUAAAAAAAAAACAGCAUUUAUUUGAAAUAGAAUCUUUUGUAACAUUAUAAACAUCUUUAUUGUCACUUUUGAUCAAUUAAAUGCAUCCUUGAUGAAUAAAAGUAUUAAUAUUUUGAACAGUAUAUAUGUACUGUAAGUCAUGAUAUGUCCACAAAAAAUGUGGCACAGAAAGUCCACCUUUAAGGGCACCCAAUUCAGUCCACUGUUACGGUCGAUUUAACCAGCAGUUAUGAGGGAUUACAGUCCAAAUAACUCUGUAAAAGUGGAAGAAUAAAGGGAUGUUGCAGCUCCUUACUGAGAAGACUAAGGAGAGGAAAUGAUGUCACGGUGUGUCACCUCUGGUGCUGAAUGAGCGCAGUGGGUGACAUUAGUCUCUGAGACUCUGUACAUGUUCUUUUCCCAGCUCUCUCGGGGGCAGUUUUUCUUUUGGGGCCAGGAAGGGAAUAGGUCAUCAAAGCGGGUUCAUAAAAAUGGACCAAAAAAAUAGAGAUAUUACAGAGCUGAACCUCGGGGUGAGAGGGAAUUAAGUCUAUGUGAGCUAUUGUUGCUGUUUGCUGAUGGAGACCUCUGACAUUUUGAUAUUACUUCGGAGUAUUGUAUCAUUUCAAAGUUGUGAAGCUAAAAAAAUAUAUAUAAGACAUAAAAGAUGUAUGUUUUUUUUUAAGAGAUGAACAACAUGUGGCACAAUUUAAUAGCACACACUCUAAAAAACUCUGGGAUAAAAACAACCUGUUUUUAAGUUGGGUUGAAAA